rnacentral:rRNA from 1 species
AUUGAACGCUGGCGGCAGGCCUAACACAUGCAAGUCGAGCGGAUGAGUGGAGCUUGCUCCAUGAUUCAGCGGCGGACGGGUGAGUAAUGCCUAGGAAUCUGCCUGGUAGUGGGGGACAACGCUUCGAAAGGAACGCUAAUACCGCAUACGUCCUACGGGAGAAAGCAUGGGACCUUCGGGCCUUGCGCUAUCAGAUGAGCAUAGGUCGGAUUAGCUAGUAGGUGAGGUAAUGGCACACCUAGGCGGCGAUCCGUAACUGGUCUGAGAGGAUGAUCAGUCACACUGGAACUGAGACACGGUCCAGACUCCUACGGGAGGCAGCAGUGGGGAAUAUUGGACAAUGGGCGAAAGCCUGAUCCAGCUAUGCCGCGUGUGUGAAGAAGGUCUUCAGAUUGUAAAGCACUUUAAGUUGGGAGGAAGGGCAGUAAGUUAAUACCUUGCUGUUUUGACGUUACCAACAGAAUAAGCACCGGCUAACUUCGUGCCAGCCGCCGCGGUAAGAC